rnacentral:rRNA from 1 species
GACGAACUGUGCAAACGUUAUUCGGAAUCACUGGGCUUGAAGAGUGCGUAGGCGGUUUUGUAAGUAGGAUGUGAAAAUCCCCGGGCGUCAACCUGGGAACGUGCAUUCAAAACUAGACAAGCUAGAGUAUGGUAGAGGGUGGUGGAAUUUCCUGUGUAGCGGUGAAAUGCGUAGAUAUAGGAAGGAACACCAGUGGCGAAGGCGACCACCUGGACUGAUACUGACACUGAGGUGCGAAAGCGUGGGGAGCAAACAGGAUUAGAUACCCCGGUAGU